UGAAAUCUUGGGCAGUGGAGCAGGGAGUGUUCUGGCGUGUGUGGGGCGCCAUGUGGGUCCUGGACAGUCUGUGGCGUGUGUGGCCAACCCUCAGGCGGGUGACGGCUGUGUCGGCCAGGACAGCGUGGAGGGAUGCUACUCUGUGGAAGGUGGUAACUGUCUUGUCUGGCGAGGGAAGGCCCCGCCAGUACUCUGUGGAAGGCGGUAACUGUCUUGUCUGGCGAGGGAAGGCCCCGCCAGUACUCUGUGGAAGGUGGUAACUGUCUUGUCUGGCGAGGGAAGGCCCCGCCAGUACUCUGUGGAAGGCGGUAACUGUCUUGUCUGGCGAGGGAAGGCCCCGCCAGUACUCUGUGGAAGGUGGUAACUGUCUUGUCUGGCGAGGGAAGGCCCCGCCAGUACUCUGUGGAAGGCGGUAACUGUCUUGUCUGGCGAGGGAAGGCCCCGCCAGUACUCUGUGGAAGGUGGUAACUGUCUUGUCUGGCGAGGGAAGGCCCCGCCAGUAGACAAAAACGCUCCUUCUUGAGCCGGAAGCCGCGUC